rnacentral:rRNA from 1 species
AUUGAACGCUGGCGGCAGGCCUAACACAUGCAAGUCGAACGAGUGGCGGACGGGUGAGUAAUGUCUGGGAAACUGCCCGGUGGCGGGGGAUAACUACUGGAAACGGUGGCUAAUACCGCAUACCAUCAGAUCUGCCCAGAUGGGAUUAGCUAGUUGGUGGGGUAACGGCUCACCAAGGCGACGAUCCCUAGCUGGUCUGAGAGGAUGACCAGCCACACUGGAACUGAGACACGGGCCAGACUCCUACGGGAGGCAGCAGUGGGGAAUAUUGCACAAUGGGCGCAAGCCUGAUGCAGCCAUGCCGCGUGUAUGAAGAAGGCCUUCGGGUUGUAAAGUACUUUCAGCGGGGAGGCGUUACCCGCAGAAGAAGCACCGGCUAACUACGUGCCAGCAGCCGCGGUAAUAC